AACGAACGCUGGCGGCAGGCUUAACACAUGCAAGUCGAGCGCCCCGCAAGGGGAGCGGCAGACGGGUGAGUAACGCGUGGGAAUCUACCCAUCUCUACGGAAUAACGCAUGGAAACGUGUGCUAAUACCGUAUACGUCCUUCGGGAGAAAGAUUUAUCGGAGAUGGAUGAGCCCGCGUUGGAUUAGCAAGUUGGUGGGGUAAAGGCCUACCAAGGCGACGAUCCAUAGCUGGUCUGAGAGGAUGAUCAGCCACACUGGGACUGAGACACGGCCCAGACUCCUACGGGAGGCAGCAGUGGGGAAUAUUGGACAAUGGGCGCAAGCCUGAUCCAGCCAUGCCGCGUGGGUGAUGAAGGCCCUAGGGUUGUAAAGCUCUUUCACCGGUGAAGAUAAUGACGGUAACCGGAGAAGAAGCCCCGGCUAACUUCGUGCCAGCCGCCGCCGUAAAAC
rnacentral:rRNA from 1 species